GAUGAACGCUAGCUACAGGCUUAACACAUGCAAGUCGAGGGGCAGCAUUUCAGUUUGCUUGCAAACUGGAGAUGGCGACCGGCGCACGGGUGAGUAACACGUAUCCAACCUGCCGAUAACUCGGGGAUAGCCUUUCGAAAGAAAGAUUAAUACCCGAUGGUAUAAUCAGACCGCAUGGUCUUGUUAUUAAAGAAUUUCGGUUAUCGAUGGGGAUGCGUUCCAUUAGGCAGUUGGUGAGGUAACGGCUCACCAAACCUUCGAUGGAUAGGGGUUCUGAGAGGAAGGUCCCCCACAUUGGAACUGAGACACGGUCCAAACUCCUACGGGAGGCAGCAGUGAGGAAUAUUGGUCAAUGGGCGCAGGCCUGAACCAGCCAAGUAGCGUGAAGGAUGACUGCCCUAUGGGUUGUAAACUUCUUUUAUAUGGGAAUAAAGUUUUCCACGUGUGGAAUUUUGUAUGUACCAUAUGAAUAAGGAUCGGCUAACUCCGUGCCAGCAGCCGCGGUAAUACGGAGGAUCCGAGCGUUAUCCGGAUUUAUUGGGUUUAAAGGGAGCGUAGGUGGACAGUUAAGUCAGUUGUGAAAGUUUGCGGCUCAACCGUAAAAUUGCAGUUGAUACUGGCUGUCUUGAGUACAGUAGAGGUGGGCGGAAUUCGUGGUGUAGCGGUGAAAUGCUUAGAUAUCACGAAGAACUCCGCUUGCGAAGGCAGCUCACUGGACUGCAACUGACACUGAUGCUCGAAAGUGUGGGUAUCAAACAGG
rnacentral:rRNA from 1 species